CCCGUGAUGCUGAUGAGCGAGAGAAGUGGAUCCAUGCCUUAGAAGAAACAAUUCUUCGACAUACUCUCCAGCUUCAAGGUUUGGAUUCAGGAUUUGUUCCUAGUGUCCAAGAUUUUGAUAAGAAACUUACAGAAGCUGAUGCUUACCUACAAAUCUUGAUUGAACAAUUAAAGCUUUUUGAUGACAAGCUUCAAAACUGCAAAGAAGAUGAACAGAGAAAGAAAAUUGAAACUCUCAAAGAGACAACAAAUAGCAUGGUAGAAUCAAUUAAACACUGCAUUGUGUUGCUGCAGAUUGCCAAAGACCAGAGUAAUGCGGAGAAGCACGCAGAUGGAAUGAUAGUAAGUUUAAUGUAAUGUUUUUGUUUCCCUUUACUUCUGCAGAGCAUUAUAACCAGUCAUAUCAGGAGAAGCCUGAAUUACUACUCAUUUUUCAAUGCCAACUAUUCACUGCUUUUUGUUGUUGACUCUUGCAGUUUCCUUUAAGCUCCCUUCUUUCAGCAAUCAUUUGCAGGGGAAGUGACAAUCUUAAAAUUUUUCCAAGUGUGAGUUCAGAUUGAAUCACUUUGCAUGUAUUAACUUGAAGGGUUAAUCAUGGUGUGAAUACUCAGCUUUUACAAUUAAAUAAUGCAUAACUCAGU
rnacentral:sRNA from 1 species